UGAUUCAUUGGACAGUCUCCACAUUUUAACAUGAAAGAAGAAAGAUCGUUAGUUAGUGUCCCCAUAUUCUGUUGGAGCUGGAUUUAUCACCUAAACUCUGCCCAAAAAAUUUCCAUCCAGACAUGCUUCUAUAUCAUAUAUGCAAACUGCACCUCCCAAUCUUCAAAAACUUCCAUUGACCUUCCUCUUCAGAAAGAUCCACAAACCAAGAAUCAAGACGAUAAGGACUAAAGCAACUGAUAUAGAUAUCGUAUCCACUAUUGCAACUCCUCAACAUAUCCUCCUCUAGUGGCUUUCUAUUCUUGUCAAGAUUUUGGAGUUUUAAAAGGUUUUUUCUACUGAGAAUGUAAAGUGCCCUUUCUCUGAUGUCAAAAAAGGCAGUCCCAAUUACCAAACAAAAGAGCAGAACCAACUCCCGUGCCGGGAAUAGAAGUAGCUUCUAUGGAUUUCACGAUACAUAAUAUUACACAAACACAUCUCAGUGCCACUUGGGAUUUAUUGACAAGGAUCCCCCGUAGCCUUCCUGAUACAUAUAUAUGUCUUCAAGGAGACCUUCAAGCUUCCUUUUUUUACAAGAAUAUUACCAUUGCUAUCUCCUCUAGACACAAGUACGAGAAUCUCAAACUCAACUCGCCUCAACAACUUAGGGUUUCAGCUUCUAUCUACGAAGAGGAUAUAGGAGGUUUGGUUGGAAAAAACAUUAUCAAGGAUAUCAAAGAGAAGAAGGAAGUGAAGUUCGGAUCACAGUUGUUUCUUACGGAUUGUAGAGAAAAGUCGACAGGACUUAUGAGGUAUGCGUGCGAUGAAACCACUUUACGGUUCGAGCCAAGUUCUGAGACAAAGGCCACUUCGUUUGGGAACAACAACCCUACCUCUACCUGCGUCAAUUUUUGACUUGUUUUCUUCUUCUUUAUUAAGUUUGCAAGGGUUUUAAAUUUUUUUUUGUACCAAACACUUAUGGAGCAACGAGAUGAUUUUUACUAAA